GAAAGGGCUUCGGCCCCGGUACAGUGGCGCACGGGUGAGUAACACGUGGGUAAUCUGCCUUCGAGCGGGGGAUAACAUUCCGAAAGGAGUGCUAAUACCGCAUAAGACCACGACCCCGAGAGAGGAUGCGGUCAAAGCUGGCCUCUAUUCAUAAGCUAGCACUUGAAGAUGAGCCCGCGGCCCAUCAGCUAGUUGGUAGGGUAACGGCCUACCAAGGCGAAGACGGGUAGCUGGUCUGAGAGGAUGAUCAGCCACACUGGAACUGAGACACGGUCCAGAGUCCUACGGGAGGCAGCAGUGGA
rnacentral:sRNA from 1 species